rnacentral:rRNA from 1 species
CAUCCUACGGGGGGCAGCAGUGGGGAAUAUUGCACAAUGGGGGAAACCCUGAUGCAGCGACGCCGCGUGAGUGAAGAAGUAUUUCGGUAUGUAAAGCUCUAUCAGCAGGGAAGAAAAUGACGGUACCUGACUAAGAAGCCCCGGCUAACUACGUGCCAGCAGCCGCGGUAAUACGUAGGGGGCAAGCGUUAUCCGGAUUUACUGGGUGUAAAGAGAGCGUAUACUGCCAGACAAGUCAUAAGUGAAAGCCCAG